rnacentral:lncRNA from 1 species
UGAGCUAAAAUCCAAGAAACUAACAACUAAGCUACAAUUAAUGAACCUAACAAAUAGCCUAUUUGUUAGUACCCUAAUAUGUGGAAAUUAGGUUAACUUGCUUGACCUUAAUUUCAGGAAACCAGGAAACUAACAACUAAGCUACAAUUAAUGAACCUAACAAAUAGCCUAUUUGUUAGUACCCUAAUAUGUGGAAAUU